GACAUCAGAGACUACAAGAAGGGCUCCAGCAAAGGAAAUUCCAAGAAGGUUGAAAGGGCAUAGGCAUAACUUGGUAGUUGCUGCCUCUGGGAAUCCUUCCUGACUCACCCUGGCAGGGACAGUGCAGUUGUCCUCACCUUUGUGUCGACCCAUAUCUGCGUGUAUGUGAAAUUCUUCACUGUUGCAGUUGUACAUCUUGUGCAGUUUGUCAUCAUUACUUGUUUAGGUGGCUUUAGCUGUCCUCCCUGAGGGGCUGAACACUUUGAGGGGUUCAUCCUCUCCAUGGUCCUGUGCCAGCAUUAUGGCACUGGAAUAGUACUGGCACAAAAGAGGUGUCAGUAAAAUGUCGAUUGAGAGAGGGAGGGAGUGAAUUUGAGCAGAGGCUUGUAGGUUAUUUCCAUUAAUGGUUGACUGUGUUUUCAACUCCAUCAGCCUGUGUUCCUUGGUAGUGGAUACAACGGAGUCAUUAGAUGAGGAAUCAGAGGCCUAAUCCCUCUGAGUUUCAGUUUUCUUAUCUAAAAGGAGCAUGCUGCUGCUGAUACAGUUGUGAGGUUCAAAAGAGAGACUGGAAUUGAAAGCCAAUAGUAUAAAUAAAUGGAGAAAGGCCUAUCAUUUGUUUAAAAUAUUUUAUAGCAUUUUCUUAAUGUGAAGCACUGGUCUGUAUGCUUACAUUGGAAGAUUAAAAAGACAAAACAGAAUCCCUACCCUCAAGGAGCUUGUGGCCUUAGAGGAAGGAGGGAUUUAAAAAAAUGUAAUAUUAAGCAAUAGUAUUUGUUGAAUGCUUGCAGUGUGCUAGGCAUUGUGCUAAGUAUUAGAAAUGAAUUCCUAUUUGAGCUUUAUGACAGCCCCUCAGGCAUCAGGUAUUAUUCUCAUUCCCACCCUACUGAUGAAAAAGAAGUGGAGGUCCCUUAGCUGGUAGGUGGAAGAACCAGGGCUUGGACCUUAGGCCAGGUCAUUGCAUACAGAGCCUGCUCUGCUAAGCACUGCUGAAGGAGGCCCAGGAGGAAGGAGUUUCCUCCAGCUGGGGGCUCCAGGCAGGCUUAGUGGAACACAGAUACUAUGUGUACAACUCGAAAUGUUUGGAGGAAGCAUUAUGAACCAGGAGAAAGGCAAAAAAAUAACUUGUUUGAUGUUGCACUCGACUAUAUAAAUCUAUUUGUGCACUGGAGUUACUUUCUUGAGUGUACUUUGCAACUUGGCAAAGAAUAGAAUUUGCUUAUGUUGUCUACACACACUUGUUGCUAUGGGGCACUGAGCCAGGGCAUCUGGGAUAGGAGGGAGCAAGCCUUAGGUGACCCGUGUUCCACAGAAGAGGAACAGCUCAGAUAGGGACAUGUGUGGUGAUUGAGACCUAUGAAAGAAAAGUAGAUUUUCAGAAAGCAUCAUUGUCAUUUUAAAUGCUGGAUUAUACUCUGGUUGCAAUGUCAGAGUUAUGAACAGUGAAACUGUCAUUUCUUUGGCAAUUAAAUCCCUGAAAACUUGGCUAGAACUUUACUAAUCUAUCUUAUUUUUCUUUUGAAAGAAUUAUAGAUUCAUAGUAAGUUACAUAGAUGGUACCAAGAAGUCUAUGUACUUUUCAUCCAGUUGCCUCAGUGGAUCUUAUGUAACUAUUACACAGUAUCAAAACCAGGAAACUGAGACUGGCACACAAAGUUUGUGUAUUAUGAAGUUCUACUGUUUUAUCACAUGUGUAGAUUACCACCAGUGCAACACAGAACUAAGUCAUCACCAUGCAGUUACCACUUAUCGUCAUAUCUACUCUCCUUACCUUCAGUUAUCUCCAAACCCUGGUAACCACAACUGUUCUCCAUUUCUGUGAAUUUGUCAUUCAAGAAUGUUAUAUAUAUAAAUGGAAUCAUACAGUAUAUGACCUUUUGAAGUUGAGUUUUUUUAUUCAGCAUAAAGUCCUAGAGAUCCAUCUAAGUUGUUGUAUGUUUCAAUUAUUUGUUCCUUUUUAUUGCUGGGUAGUAUUCCAACCAAUCCAUCUGCUUUCAUAUUAUUGUGCAUUGAAGGGUUGUGGUCUCCUGAACAGAAGUCUAUCUCCAAAAACAAAUCAAGCAGCAAGAUCAUCUGCUGCAGCUGGACAAAUGAUGGUCAGUACCUGGCACUGGGAAUGUUCAAUGGGAUCAUCAGCAUACGGAACAAAAAUGGCGAGGAGAAAGUGAAGAUUGAGCGGCCGGGGGGCUCCCUCUCGCCAAUAUGGUCCAUCUGCUGGAACCCUUCAAGCCGAUGGGAGAGUUUCUGGAUGAACAGAGAUAAUAACGAUGCCGAGGAUGUCAUUGUCAACAGAGGUUUUCAGGAAAUCCCUUCUCUGGAGUCAGCAGUGUACAGUAGUCAGGGUAGUGAGGCAGAGGAGGAAGAACCAGAGGAAGAAGACGACAACUUGUGAGUGUGUCCCAAUGAGUGAGAACCCUCCUGGUAAGGGCCCAGGCCCCACAUAGACUUGCCAGGGCAGAUGUUAAGCUCCUUGGCCAAGGGGAGCAGUACAGGGCUUGGGGGUAACUGUGGGUGAAAGCUCCUUCAAGAAAAGGAGACACACCCUUAAAACUUGUGUGGAGGUUAUAAAGUGAUUCUGUGAGAAACUCUAGGAAAUACUGAGAAGUCUAAAGGAGAAAGUUCAGCUUUUCUGAUAAAACCCCAUCCCCUCAAGAAACCACUGUUAGCCAUCUAGUGUAUUUCCCUUAGUCUUUUAGUGUCUUCAUAUAAUUAAGUCAUAUUCUACUUUUUUUUCACGUAACAUUAUAGUGUGAACACUUUCCAGUAACGUUACAAAUCCUUCCAAGAACAGGAUUUUUUUU